AUGUUCAGUACACCAGAGAAAAUGAUCAAUGAAAUAGAUGUGGGGCCAGGUGGUAAGUUUUCUAGCAGUAGCAGUUCAGGGGAGGUAAUCACCAACAAAUUUGAGAGGAGGCUCAUCAAGCCAUCAACAUCUUUGAGAUCACCUUUCACGGGCAUUGACAACAAAAAGGAAUUCUAUUGCAAACCCGAAGUCAACCACUUAUAUGCAUCUGUUAUUUUGCAUGCAAGGCGCAGUGCAGAAGAAUCACCCGAUACAGAUAACAGCCCAAGAAUCAUCGACUUUGAUGGCUACUUUGUAUCUGUGAGGGAGCUCGCGGAGUCCAUCAAGUGUGGUGGUUCUGUCGUUUCGCAUGUUUUCCAAGUUGGGUUACAGUCUAUAAUUUACAACUUGCCAGCAGACUCAAAGAAGGUUAUCAUGCCAGUUAAAUUCUCGGUUACAACAGAUGAUAUGGAAUACAAAAGAGAUUACUGCCAGGUUUAA
rnacentral:rRNA from 1 species